UGCAUAUCAAAAAAGCGGAGGAAAAGAAACCAACAGGGAUUGCCUUAGUAGCGGCGAGUGAAGCGGCAAAAGCUCAAAUUUGAAAUCUGGCUCUUUCAGAGUCCGAGUUGUAAUUUGAAGAAGGUAUCUUUGGGUCUGGCUCUUGUCUAUGUUUCUUGGAACAGAACGUCACAGAGGGUGAGAAUCCCGUGCGAUGAGAUGAUCCAGGCCUAUGUAAAGUUCCUUCGAAGAGUCGAGUUGUUUGGGAAUGCAGCUCUAAGUGGGUGGUAAAUUCCAUCUAAAGCUAAAUAUUGGCGAGAGACCGAUAGCGAACAAGUACAGUGAUGGAAAGAUGAAAAGAACUUUGAAAAGAGAGUGAAAAAGUACGUGAAAUUGUUGAAAGGGAAGGGCUUGAGAUCAGACUUGGUAUUUUGUAUGUUACUUCUUCGGGGGUGGCCUCUACAGUUUAUCGGGCCAGCAUCAGUUUGGGCGGUAGGAGAAUUGCGUUGGAAUGUGGCACGGCUUCGGUUGUGUGUUAUAGCCUUCGUCGAUACUGCCAGCCUAGACUGAGGACUGCGGUUUAUACCUAGGAUGUUGGCAUAAUGAUCUUAAGUCGCCCGUCUUG
rnacentral:rRNA from 1 species